GUGCCUAUGGUGUAAUGGUUAACACGGAGGUUUGUGGAACCUUCGAUUCGGGUUCAAUUCCCGAUAGGCACCCCA
rnacentral:tRNA from 2 species